UAUAGGGUAUUUUUUUUUUAAGUUUUCAGCCAUCGCUCACCAUAUCAAGAAAAAACUGAUUUAAACACAAAAGGUGAAGGAUACAAAUAAAAUUGAUCCAUGCGUUUGAAUAUUAAUUUGGAAGUUAAAUGAAGUUUCACAAGCUCAUCAAAUUAGGCUUUGAUAUAAAAACGAAAUUAAUGUCACAAACAUGUUUAAAUUCAAAUGAGAGAAAACAAUUGAGUGUUCAUGAAAAUAUGGAUUCGGCAUUUCGUAGACUGAAUUUUAUGUAAUAAAUGCAAAAGCUAAAAAAAUUGCUUAAGAAUCUGAUGUUGAAGUACAGUUCCCCAUAAUGAUGAACGUUUAUAAUAAACCAUUUAAUAAUUUAAAAAGAAAUCAGUUAUGAGAGUUGGUUGUAAAAUUUAAAUAAU